rnacentral:rRNA from 1 species
GACGAACGCUGGCGGCGUGCUUAACACAUGCAAGUCGAACGGAAAGGCCCCUUUGGGGGUACUCGAGUGGCGAACGGGUGAGUAACACGUGAGUAACCUGCCCUUGACUUCGGGAUAACUUCAGGAAACUGGGGCUAAUACCGGAUAGGAAUCCUUGCUGCAUGGUGGGGGUUGGAAAGCUUCGGCGGUUUUGGAUGGACUCGCGGCUUAUCAGCUUGUUGGUGGGGUAGUGGCUUACCAAGGCUUUGACGGGUAGCCGGCCUGAGAGGGCGACCGGCCACAUUGGGACUGAGAUACGGCCCAGACUCCUACGGGAGGCAGCAGUGGGGAAUAUUGCACAAUGGGCGGAAGCCUGAUGCAGCAACGCCGCGUGCGGGAUGACGGCCUUCGGGUUGUAAACCGCUUUCAGCAGGGGCGAAGCUUGUGGUGACGGUACCUGCAGAAGAAGCCCCGGCUAACUACGUG